CCCUGCGUCCCUCGCGAUUUGAACGGCCGGCUUGCGGCGAGGCUAAACAACCGCGCUAAAGAGGCCCGGGAUACGUUCUU
rnacentral:ncRNA from 1 species